GAACAGAGAGAAAUGCGCUAGUAUACAUUGUCAAUGUUUGGACCAGUUGGAAUUCUUCACCGCUGCGGUCGUAGUAAUGGACAGACUUGAAGAGCAGCAUUCUACAUGGAGGUGUUUACCUGGUUAAUGAAAGUUAAAAAAAACAAAGACAGGAUAAGCAGAAUAACUGAUUGAUUGACGAAGAAUUAUUUAUUUUGUAUAGAUUGCGACCUCGAAAUGACUGUGACGUGUCCGUUUUCAGAAUUAACUCUUUCAUGCUCCCUGUAACAUGAUAAGCUGUCCACUGGAGUAACUGCUCUUCUAUUUGAAGCUCAAAUAGAGUUUUUCUGGUUGUUUUUUCUUGGCUUUUUUUUUUUUUUACUUUCUAGCAGAGGCCUAAAGGUUUUAUGUUAAAACACUGAAUGCUAUUUUGCAGUGACGGCCUAAAAGAUGAGAAAAGUUUCAUUGGACCGUCGGAAAAUCUCCAAGUGGAAAAAUGUGUGAUGAUUAAACAAAAACCUGGCGUUUGAAAAGAGUGCAACCAAGGCAGAGGUUUACAUCCCGCCGUCCUACCUUGCAGUCCGUCGCUGCCUCCUCGACAGGGGACACAUCAGCCUCUCCUCCACCGCUUCCACCUCCCUGCGGGAGACUACGGCCUCGCAGAUGUUCUUCAGGGCCAGGUUGGGAAAGUGGC